UUGAGGCGGUCAGGCACAAAGGAGGAGCAGUGGGAGCGACCGAUGGUGUGCGCUCCGGACAGGAUGACCAGGUCCUCCGCGUCCAGGCCCUUGACGACGAAGCUAUCGACGAGGUCGCUGAGGUUGGACGUGGGCGGGGCGAGAAACUUGAGGGGCUCGGAGGCGUUGGAGAAGGUGCCGUCACGGCGGCCCGAUGGCACCUCGAAGUGUACCUUGCCGGCGUUGAGGAUGCAGGACGCAUCGCGGGCCGCGAAGGCGAUGAUGUCCGCGCAGGACACGGUGCCCGGACAGGCCACCUCAAGGGCUUCUUUAAUGGCGUCGAUCAGCUCAAAGCCGCGCAGCGACGGGUUGUUUGGCGGGCUGAGCUUCUCCGGCG
rnacentral:lncRNA from 1 species